AUGAUUUCAGAAAAGGAAAUAAAUAACUGGCAACAAAUGAUAAACAAAUAUUGCAACAAUGGUAAAAAGAACAGAUUAAACAAACAAAUUUGGUACAACCCCCAAAAAGAAGGAGGAUUGGGCCUUCCGAAUAUAAAAAAAUAUUAUGAGUCAAACCAAUUAAGAUAUGUAGUAGAGAAGAUGAUGGAUGGAGAAGGUUUGGAAUGGAUGGAAUCAGGGAAUAAGGCAAUUGAGUGGAGGAAGGAUAACAUAUUCUUUAAGGAAAUCUCAAAGAAAGAGAUAAAACAAAUUGGAAAUAUAUCAUUAAGAAAUAUAAUGGAAAUAUGGAAUAAAUAUAAAGGACAAUUAAUUAAUAAGAAUUCAGUUUUAACGCCAAUAAUAAUGGAAAAAGAUUUCCCAAAGGAUAUGUUGUCGAAUGAAAUGUAAGGUGGUGGUGGCCACUAAAAGGCUGGCAAGAAGCUGUGCCCCUCCAUCUAGCCUUCCCCCACCAGCCUUUUCGCAGCCAUCAUCAGCUUUCCAUCAAGCUUUUCUUCCUUCUCUGUCCCCAACCAGGAUCUCUUACCCAACAGCAGAGAUGGGUUUAGCUGCGCAAUUCUAGUCAAAUCUAAUGUGCACCUCAAAUUUACCAAUGUAAUUUAGCCAAAAAAGGUGUGUGUUAGACUCAAGUAAAUAUGGAUAAGUUGAGUCCCGCUCAAACAGAAAUCUGAUAUUCUCUAAAAACGGAAACUGUUUGUCACCAACUGCCCACUUCUACCUUUGAAGAAAGGAGUCUAGUCACACAUUUAGCACCUGCUGAUUUUUUUCAUUAAGGUGGGAAAAUAAAUAAAUAAAUAAAUAAUAAUAACAACAACUUUAUUUUUAUAUCCUGCCACCAUCUUCCCAAAGGGACUCAGGGCAGCUUACAUGGGAACCAAGCUCACCAUAAACAAAGAUUACAAGCUAAGACACAAUUAAAACAUUAAUAACAUAUAAACAAUCUAAUUAAAACAAUUAAAACCAGCAAAGCAUAAAAACAUCAUAAUAUGUAUCAAAUCAACCUUAACAACCAGUAACCAGGAAUAUGGUGGGCAUGAUCAGAUUAGAGAGGGCAGGACAAGGACUUGUGCAAAACACAAACUAUAGGACCAGGGCUAGGGGUAAGGUGCUGAAUAAACCUAAUCAGUAAAUUAGGGCUGGGCAGACCUGAUCAGGGACUAAAACUGUCAAUUCAAAUGCACUCUGGAACAUCCAGGUUUUCAAGUCCCUGUGGAAGGUGGAUAGAGUAGGGGAUAAUCUAAUCUGCCAGGAGAUGGAGUUCCAGAGCUGGGGAGCCACCACCGAGAAGGCCCUCUCUCUCUCAUCCCCACCAACCGUGCUUGGAAAAGAGAGUGCAGGGAAGGGAGGAAGAACUGUACUUUACAAAAGCCCAUGUAAAAUGCAGAUAUCCCUGGCACUACAUGUCCUCCUUCCACCUCACUAAUGGGAGCACUGGGCAAUCUCUCUGGAAAUAGCUGUGAGGACAAGGUUGGGUCAACCCCAUUAGCUUCUACUUGUAUCCAACACAGAGAGAAUGAAAAAAGCAGGAAGUGUGCUUGAUAACCGAGGUAAUUUCUGAGGUGCCUGCUUUUUUGUAAGGGCCUUAUGUAAGUGGAGUCCUUCCCCCUCUUCUCUUUCACAUGUCAGGUUUCUGGCAGUAGUGGACCUUCUGGAGGGGGAAGCUCAGUGAGUGUUGGAUGUGUGACUUUCCCCCAUCCCACAUUCACUCAGGGUCUCAUCAGAUGGACAAAAUUGUCCGUUCCACACUACUUCACUCCUCUUCAAGCAUGGAGUCUACCAGCUCCCAUCUCACGAUGUUGAUCUAUUUCUGGCGGGCAAAAUGAGAGGCUUCCCGUGUUACAUAAGGAACAAUGGGGGAAGCCAGAUGGCAAACAGUUCCCCCAUGGGAUGAGGUAAGUGGCAAGGCAGGUGUUGCGGGGCAUGGGGUGACGGGCUCCCCCUGGCAAAUUUGCCAUGAUCAAUGGUGAAUCCAGUCGUUAAUGUGUUGAGGUCCUAAGUAUACGCAAACUUUCAAAAUCUGAAAAAUAAAUCCAAGAACCCUGAAAUCCUAAAAACCUCUGGUCCCAAGCAUUUCAGUUAAAGCAGACUCAGCCUAUACUCUUGCUAUGUGGAUUCAUGUCAACUCAGCCUUAUGGUAACCCUAUCAUAGGAUUUUCUUGGCAACAUUUAUUCGGAGAAAGUUUGUCUCCCUAUAUGGCUGAGUGAUAAUUGCCCAGGAUUACUCACUUGGUUUCCAUGGAUAAGAUGGGAUUCAAAUUCUGGCCUCUCAUUCUGGCCUCUCAAAAAGUCCAGUUCUUAAACUGCUUCACCACACUAGCUCUAUUCAUCAAUAUAUUGAUAAUAAAUAAGUGCACUGCUAGCAACACAUUUUCCACCUAUUCCUACAAAUGGAAAUCAUUAAUGUGUAGCAGGAAUGAUGCAAUAUUCAAUGUAUUUUCAGGACAUGGAAUAAACCAAACCAUGAACUGGGGGAUAGAAACGUGGACUUCCAUUUUUUAUAUGAGGUGGUCCUAGCAAAAAGAACAGCAACAAAGAAAAGCUAUCAUACAUGGUUUGAAACUGAGUAAGGGCAUCCCUGUGCUCCCUUAAAUGGAACAUUUGGUCUUUUCCCCAUUUUCUUAUCUGAGCUUCUAUGUUUUAAAAAGGACAUGAAAAUAAAUGUCUUCCUUCUUUCUAACUCAAGCUAAAUACAGAGCAGGAACUCAAAAGUAAUAUCCUUUUAUUUCUGGCCUUUCUUCUGAAAGGAACUGAAAUAUAUGACAAGUCUAGUCAACAACCCUGGUCCUUGUGAAUUUUCUUUUGACACCAGAAGGCUUUCUGUGUUAGGGGGAAGGCACUUUUCUCCUCAAAUCUGUCAGGAAAUCUGUGCUGUUUUUUUUCAUGAGAAAUGUUCCACACUGGCAAGCUGAUGUUUCCACAAAAUUGGACACAAUUAAAGAAUUCCAUGUUGCAAUCCUAUGGCCUCUGAGAGGUUGUCCCAGGAACAAUAUGAUAUUGCAGGUCAUCCUCUCAAAAGGCUGUGUGGGGAAUUCUGGGAGUUGUAAACAUCCCCAGUUGUGAUCUUGUAAAUUUUAAUAAUUAAAUAUGACCCACCCUCAAGUGUGAAGGAGCACACAAGCCUUUCCCAGUGUCAUUCCCUCCAUCCUGGUUAGGGAUAAUGGGAGUUGUGACUCAACAAAGUUGGAGGAUGCCAGGUUGAACUAUAGACUGCAGGAGUUUAGAAAACUUGGGCCCUCAUCAGACCUGAUAGAGAG
rnacentral:lncRNA from 1 species